UUCUUACUUUCACUUUCAGUUGCCUAAAUGGCAUUGCUUAACUCAGUGUGAGAUUCUGGAUUCUUCCCUUUAGCUGCAAUGCUGAGUGGUCAUUCAAUAUUUGCCUCACUGCCUAUGGUGCAGAACUGUUGACAUCUGGAUGGAAUCUAAGACACACACCCUAAAUGACAUGAAGGAAGAAGAAAAAUGAUGAAUCUCUUCAGCGAAUUCUCCAGUUUUUGUUCAAAAGGACAGCAUCCAAAGUACUGAAAUUUUCUAAAUUACCAAUGAAGACUUAGAAGAGGCAGAUACAAAGGGCUGCCAAUUAACGAGCACCUGUGUC